rnacentral:rRNA from 1 species
UGAGGAAUAUUGGUCAAUGGGCGGAAGCCUGAACCAGCCAAGUCGCGUGAGGGAAGACGGUCCUAUGGAUUGUAAACCUCUUUUGCCGGGGAGCAAAGCCGGGCUCGUGAGCCCGGAAGGAGAGUACCCGGAGAAAAAGCAUCGGCUAACUCCGUGCCAGCAGCCGCGGUAAUACGGAGGAUGCGAGCGUUAUCCGGAUUUAUUGGGUUUAAAGGGUGCGUAGGCGGGAUCUUAAGUCAGCGGUAAAAAUGCGGGGCUCAACCCCGUAGUGCCGUUGAAACUGAGGUUCUUGAGUGGGCGAGAAGUAUGCGGAAUGCGUGGUGUAGCGGUGAAAUGCAUAGAUAUCACGCAGAACUCCGAUUGCGAAGGCAGCAUACCGGCGCCCAACUGACGCUGAGGCACGAAAGCGUGGGGAUCGAACAGGAUUAGAUACC